CACGCCCCGUCAGGGCCCGGCGUGUGAUGUUCCCCUCCCUGUGUCCCAUGUGUUCUCGCUGUUCAACUCCCACUUAGGAGCGAGAACAUGCGGUGUUUGGUUUUCGCUUCCUGUGUCAGUUUGCUGAGAAUGAGGCCUUCCAGCUUCAUCCACGUUCCCGCAGAGGUCAUGAACUCAUCCUUUUUUAUGGCUGCGUAGUAAUUCCAUGCUGUAUACGUGCCACACUUUCUUUAUCCAGCCUAUCAUUCAUGGGCAUUCGAGUUGGUUCCAAGUCUUUGCUAUUGUAAAUAGUGCUGCAGUAAACAUACGUGUCCACGUGUCUUCCUAGUAGGAACUUCUUCCUCUUCAGCCCGCUGAGUAGCUGGCACUUUAAGGCAGGUGCCAACGCACCGGCAGCAAGCUUCCUUUUUUGCCCGGGAAAAACUGAGGUGCAGGUAGUAUAAGCCAUUGAUCACGGAACGCACAGGAGCAGAGCUCGAGUCCAAGCAUCGUGGCUCCACCCGUCAUGCUGGAUGCAUCUUUAGGCUCCGCUCUAGGUAUGUGUAUCCUUUACGGGAUCAGCCACCGGCAGUUGCCUUGCGAGCACGAUGACAAACCUCUGCCGGCUCUUUUGGGUCUCAUCCCUGUAUCUAUACGUUGCAUCCCAACAUAAAGACCGGAAUGUUCCUUUCGCUGACCCAGUCUCUCACCCUUUCCAAACUCCAGAAAUCUUGUCUGUCCUCGGAAGAACUCCCCCUGCUUCUUUCUCUAAAGGCUGUCUUCAGGCCGGGCACAGUGGGAGGAUCGCUUGAGCCCAGAAGGCCGCAGUGAGGUGAGAUCGCGCCAUUGCACUGCAGCCCCCGGCGGCAGAGCCGGAGCCCCGUCUCGAAACAAACAAACAAAAACCAACCAACCAACCAACCAACCAACAAACAAACACAGACAAAGAAAGAAAGAGCCCAGGCAACCUAGUGAAAACCUGUUCGGGCUGGGGCAUACCUGUACCCCAGCUGUUCCGGAGGCUGAGGCCAGGAGGAUGGGUGGACGCUGGGAGGUGGAUGCUGCAGUGAGCAGUGAUUGCACCACUGCACUCCAGCCUGGGUGACAGAGCCAGACCCCGUCCCAAAUAAAUAAACAUAAAAAUAAAGGAACCAGUUUGUAGAAAGCGGGAGAGGGUCCCAUUGAACUUCAAGCCUUCGAGCAACAGCUGUGGCUGGACAGGUUGGACCAGCAGGCUGGAGCAGUCGCCAUCUUGGCAGGGAUCAUUGACCCUGAUCUAUCGUCGGGAGGAGGAAGAGCUGAUCUUACGCAGGGAGGGCAGGUGGACUAUGUGUGGACUCUGGUGACCUGUUUGGGUGCCAGGUGUUACUCCCAGGGCCACCCGUAACUGUGAAUGUGCAGGAACCCUGACUUGAGAAGGGCCUGGCCACGGGGGGCUUAGGCCCCUGGGGAAUGAGAGUUUGGUUCCCGGUACCCAGGGAAACCACCAGCAUCGGCAGAGGUGAUAGCUGAGGAGGAGCGGGGAUUUGGACGAGAGACACAGGAUGAGUACCGGGGGGCAGCCCCGUGAUCAACAACUGCUGCAAGAGGGGCCGUUUGUUCGACUCGCUAGUCUUCUGCGGCUCUAUGCGGUACUAAAGAGCAGAAGACAGAAGAUACAAAAACCACAAAAAGUAGCCGGGCGUGGUGCUGCCCGUCAAUAAUCCCAGCUACUCGGGAGGCUGAGACAGGAGAAUCGCUUGAACCCGGGAGGCGGAAGUUUCAGCGAGCCGAGAUCACGCCGUUGCAGUCCAACCUGAGCGUCCGAGCGAGACUCUAUCUCAGAAAAUAAAGACAGAAUGAAAGAGCCCGGCGCGGUGGCUUACGCCUGUAAUCCCAGCGCUUUGGGAGGCCGAGGCGGGCGGAUCGCCUGAGGUCAGGAGCUCGAGACCAGCCUGGCCGACAUGGCGAAACCCC
rnacentral:lncRNA from 1 species